CCCUUAGAUGUUUUGGGCCGCACACGCGCUACACUGAAGGAGGCAGCGUGUACUCCUGGAUCGAAAGAUUUGGGUAACCCGCGAAUCUCCUUCGUGCUAGGGAUUGAGGUUUGCAAUUAUCCUUCAUGAACGAGGAAUUCCCAGUAAGUGCAAGUCAUAAGCUUGCGCUGACUACGUCCCUGCCCUUUGUACACACCGCCCGUCGCUACUACCGAUUGAAUGAUUUAGUGAGGACUUCGGACUGGGACCGAUGCGGCUUUCGGGCUGCGUCGGUAUUCUGGAAAGAUGUCCAAACUGUAUCAUUUAGAGGAAGUAAAAGUCGUAACA
rnacentral:rRNA from 1 species